CUUGAUUUAUUUCUUGAGUGUGUACUUGUUAAGCCUUAUAAGAAAAGAGUUAUUAACUUAAGGAAUUAUAACAAAGAAGUAACACGUAAUGGAUCAAUCCAUUUUUAGUGUGUAUCAAUCGAGUUUCUGACCUAUCAGCUUUUGAUGUUAGGGUAUUGGCCUAACAUGGCUAUGACGGGUAACGGGGAAUUAGAGUUCGAUUCCGGAGAGGGAGCCUGAGAAAUAGCUACCACAUCUAAGGAAGGCAGCAGGCGCGUAAAUUACCCAAUUCUAAAGAAGAGAGGUAGUGACAAGAAAUAACAAUACAAGGCCAAUCUGGCUUUGUAAUUGGAAUGAUGGGAAUUUAAAACCUUCCCAAAAUUCAAUUGGAGGGCAAGUCUGGUGCCAGCAGCCGCGGUAAUUCCAGCUCCAAUAGCGUAUAUUAAAAUUGUUGCAGUUAAAACGCUCGUAGUUGAAUUUCAAAGAAUCGAUAUUUUAAGUAACGCUUCUAGCUACAAAUCCACAUAACUGAUGCCUCCGCGUAUCGACUUUGUGCGCAUUUUAGCUAUUAUGUGUUCUUUUAAUUAAAAUGAUUCUUUUUAAGAUUCAUCUAUUAAAAAUUUGCUUCGGCAUAAUUUUUUUUGAUGAUCUUGUUACUUUGAGUAAAUUAGAGUGUUCAAAGCAAACAGAUAUAGCAUUUGUGCGUUUGAAUACUACAGCAUGGAAUAACAAAAUUGAACAAGUCAGAAUUUUUUUGUUCUUUUUUCUUAUUUUGGCUUAGUUACGAUUAAUAGGAGUAGCUUGGGGGCAUUUGUAUUCAGAUGUCAGAGGUGAAAUUCUUAGAUUUUCUGGAGACAAACAACUGCGAAAGCAUUUGCCUAAAAUACUUCCAUUAAUCAAGAACGAAAGUUAAGGGAGUGAAGACGAUCAGAUACCGUCGUAAUCUUAACCAUAAACUAUGCCGACUAGGC
rnacentral:rRNA from 1 species